CACGUAGGGCGCGAGCGUUGUCCGGAAUUAUUGGGCGUAAAGAGCUCGUAGGCGGCCUGUUGCGUCCGCUGUGAAUGCCCGGGGCUUAACCCCGGGUCGGCAGUGGAUACGGGCAGGCUAGAGGUAGGUAGGGGAGAAUGGAAUUCCCGGUGUAGCGGUGAAAUGCGCAGAUAUCGGGAGGAACACCGGUGGCGAAGGCGGUUCUCUGGGCCUUACCUGACGCUGAGGAGCGAAAGCGUGGGGAGCGAACAGG
rnacentral:rRNA from 1 species